rnacentral:rRNA from 1 species
UACGUAGGGGGCAAGCGUUGUCCGGAAUCAUUGGGCGUAAAGAGCGUGUAGGCGGCUUGGUAAGUCCGCUGUGAAAGUCCAGGGCUCAACCCUGGAAUGCCGGUGGAAACUGUCAGGCUCGAGUCCGGAAGAGGCGAGUGGAAUUCCUGGUGUAGCGGUGAAAUGCGCAGAUAUCAGGAGGAAUACCAAUGGCGAAGGCAGCUCGCUGGGACGGUACUGACGCUGAGACGCGAAAGCGUGGGGAGCAAACAGG